CCUGUCUUUUCACUUGCCUUAUCUCACGCUCUCUCACACUCCUCUUCACUUUCCACUUUGCUUCCAUGGCCGAGCUACAGCAGCCCGACGCCCCCAUCACCGCCGCUGCCAUCCCUUCCGCCACCGCGACAACCACCACCUCCAAUACAACAUCUAUAGCUCCACCACCUCCCCCAUCCGAUAACCCUCCAACCAACAACGUCAAUAGCAACAACUUAGGCCUCAGUUUGGCUCCGAAACGGCAGCGCCGACCAAGUGUUCGAUUAGGCGAGAUCGGAAACUCACCUUCCGACACUCACUUCCGACGAGGCCCCAAAACCUGGCGUUUCC
rnacentral:lncRNA from 1 species